AUUGAACGCUGGCGGCAGGCCUAACACAUGCAAGUCGAGCGGUAGCACAGAGAGCUUGCUCUCGGGUGACGAGCGGCGGACGGGUGAGUAAUGUCUGGGAAACUGCCUGAUGGAGGGGGAUAACUACUGGAAACGGUAGCUAAUACCGCAUAACGUCGCAAGACCAAAGUGGGGGACCUUCGGGCCUCAUGCCAUCAGAUGUGCCCAGAUGGGAUUAGCUAGUAGGUGGGGUAACGGCUCACCUAGGCGACGAUCCCUAGCUGGUCUGAGAGGAUGACCAGCCACACUGGAACUGAGACACGGUCCAGACUCCUACGGGAGGCAGCAGUGGGGAAUAUUGCACAAUGGGCGCAAGCCUGAUGCAGCCAUGCCGCGUGUGUGAAGAAGGCCUUCGGGUUGUAAAGCACUUUCAGCGGGGAGGAAGGCGGUGAGGUUAAUAACCUCAUCGAUUGACGUUACCCGCAGAAGAAGCACCGGCUAACUCCGUGCCAGCAGCCGCGGUAAUACGGAGGGUGCAAGCGUUAAUCGGAAUUACUGGGCGUAAAGCGCACGCAGGCGGUCUGUCAAGUCGGAUGUGAAAUCCCCGGGCUCAACCUGGGAACUGCAUUCGAAACUGGCAGGCUAGAGUCUUGUAGAGGGGGGUAGAAUUCCAGGUGUAGCGGUGAAAUGCGUAGAGAUCUGGAGGAAUACCGGUGGCGAAGGCGGCCCCCUGGACAAAGACUGACGCUCAGGUGCGAAAGCGUGGGGAGCAAACAGGAUUAGAUACCCUGGUAGUCCACGCCGUAAACGAUGUCGAUUUGGAGGUUGUGCCCUUGAGGCGUGGCUUCCGGAGCUAACGCGUUAAAUCGACCGCCUGGGGAGUACGGCCGCAAGGUUAAAACUCAAAUGAAUUGACGGGGGCCCGCACAAGCGGUGGAGCAUGUGGUUUAAUUCGAUGCAACGCGAAGAACCUUACCUGGUCUUGACAUCCACAGAACUUUCCAGAGAUGGAUUGGUGCCUUCGGGAACUGUGAGACAGGUGCUGCAUGGCUGUCGUCAGCUCGUGUUGUGAAAUGUUGGGUUAAGUCCCGCAACGAGCGCAACCCUUAUCCUUUGUUGCCAGCGGUCCGGCUGGGAACUCAAAGGAGACUGCCAGUGAUAAACUGGAGGAAGGUGGGGAUGACGUCAAGUCAUCAUGGCCCUUACGACCAGGGCUACACACGUGCUACAAUGGCAUAUACAAAGAGAAGCGACCUCGCGAGAGCAAGCGGACCUCAUAAAGUAUGUCGUAGUCCGGAUUGGAGUCUGCAACUCGACUCCAUGAAGUCGGAAUCGCUAGUAAUCGUAGAUCAGAAUGCUACGGUGAAUACGUUCCCGGGCCUUGUACACACCGCCCGUCACACCAUGGGAGUGGGUUGCAAAAGAAGUAGGUAGCUUAACCUUCGGGAGGGCGCUUACCACUUUGUGAUUCAUGACUGGGGUGA
rnacentral:rRNA from 1 species